CACACACACACACAGAUACACACACACACACACACAGAUACACACACACACACACACACACACACACACAGACACACACACACACACACACACACACGUUCAUGUAAGAAGCUAUAACUUCAGGGCAGGUGCUGAUGCUAGGGGCUAUACAAUAAUGUGAUCUUUCAAAAGUGACUUAUCAUCAUCCCUGAAAGGAGAAGACUGGGCAUUUUUACACAUUUCUGCUUACAUUUAAGCAUUUGUACGCAAGGUGCAGGCAUUAGUCAGGGUCCUUCCCUGGUUCUGUGGUACUUCAGAUGCCAAGAGUGAGCAGCUGAGGUCUUGGUCAUCAGGGCCUGCUGCUCUUUCUGUUACAUUAUUCUUCACAGAGUGAACAUAUAUGAACACAUGAACAAUGUACUUUAAUGCCAAUCUCCUGUUCAUGAAAUAUUGAUUUGUAAAGAGCUGUAAGUAGUAAUUAGCUUUUUUUUUACUGUGGCAAAGAAUCCAUCUAGUUAAUAACAUCCAACUUCUGUACAUUCAUACGAAAUACAUUUUUAGUUACUCUAAUAUUUCUUUUGUCUGUUUAUUACUUGAACUCAGUUCCCAAGAGAAUCAUUUUCUGCAUCCAGGUCUAUAUGGGCAUUAUCUGUUUAGAUUCUCUAAGCUCACUUACUGAGAGCUAAUGAGAACAAAGUCUCAGCUCAGAUACUCAAGGGAGUAUCAGGCCAUGGACCACAUAUUUGCUAUCUCAGCUCUUAGUUUCAACAGGCCUGAGGCAUUGGCUUGACAAAAAUUCAUGCUGUUAAACAUAUAUCUUAUAUAAAUAUCUAAUCUGAUUCAUUUAUUUAAUCACAGCAAAAGAAUCAGGUGAAUAAUUUUAUUGUGUGAACCAUGAACACAAGUUUUCAUAUGUUUCCUAUUAAUCUUGUCAGAGAACUUCUCAUAUCUGUAAUGCUUUAUCAGAUUCUGUAACUUGGAAGUUGGCAAAAUAAAAGAAAUAAGUUGAAAAAUAGCAGCAGAUUAAAAAAAAACCACAUGUAUUUGAGAAUCUAAAGCUAAGCAUUAAACAUUCAAAAUAAUUCACAGCAGAGUAGGAACAGAGCUGUAGCUACAUGAAACAGGAUGCAAGAAGAUGAGGUUGUAGUCAUUGGUUGGAGACUUAGCAACCAUCCAGAUGCUUGACAAUGAAAACCAAUUCGUUCCUUGCCAAAGGGGGAACUUAAUUAAUGAGGACAAGGAUGAAUUUAUUUUAGUUAUUUAAAAUAGAAGCUUUUAAGUACAGAGAGCAAAGACUAAUUUAAAUUUCAGUGCUCUUAAUGUAUAGUAUCUGGGCAGGUCUGUUGAGGAUGGGUGAGCUUUUUGCUAUCUUUAGUUUCAUUUUUGUAGGGGUAUUAAUGGAUGGGAAGGGGUUUUGGCAGGUGACGUUUGAAUAGCAGCAGGUAAUGUGGUUCACAGGUUUCACAUUCACAUCUGAUCCCAGACCAUUCAGUCCAGUGAUCAUUCUAGAGCCUCCAUCAUCCUGGUUUGUCUCACUCCCUCACCUAAGUGAUGGAGGACAGUGGUAGCAAAGAAAGAGAAAUAACAUGGGUAACCAAAUUAAGCAUUGAAGAUAGGCUCUACACUUUAAUAUUCAGAGGUGAGGGGCAGCCAAACACUUUCCACCACACGCAGUAUAUUUGAGGGAAUAUAAGUUUUACACUGUCCGCUCUUUCUUGCCUGUUCUCUGUCACCAAACAGCAGCAAGAUUGAAGGUAAAUUAUAGAAACAUUUUGAACACUGGGGACCCCCGCUAUUAAAAGAAUUAGCUAUGCAGGGUGCUAUGUACUGGCAAACCCAGGACACUGAGGCAGGAGGAUCACAUGAUAAUAAAAUUAAAGAAAGCCUAGAUUAUUCUGUAAGAGCCUGUCUCAUAAAAAGGGAAAGAAAAUAUGAAAAUAGUGGAAAAGCAAGAGUGGAGAUAAGAUAGGAAAACAGAAAGAGGAAGGGGAAGAGGAGGAAAAGCAGGAGGAAAAAUUUUAAAAAAUCCUCAUCUUUACUGAGGUGAUACUGAUUUAUGAUAUCUGCCCAUAUUUAAAUUAAUAAUAUGAAUAAAGGCUGAGUGGUUUUCAUAGUUAUGCUGACAGACACACUCAUCAUCUCACAUCCAUACCAUGGAAUGUGUGGUGAUGAUGCUUAACAUACAAUCUCAGUGAUUUUUAUUUCAGUCCACUAUUAGUAUCUGUAGACAUUGUGCUGUAUGUUGUGUCCCUAGCACUUCUGAUCUUAUAAUGGAAACUUUGAAAUAGUUGAUCGCUUCAUUUCAUUUCCCUCAAUUUCAUAUCCUUGGUCACUCUACUUUCCUGUCUGAGGAUAGAAUUAGAUUAACAAAAAAAAUGAACAAAACAAGC
rnacentral:lncRNA from 1 species